rnacentral:rRNA from 1 species
GUAGGUGGCAAGCGUUGUCCGGAAUUAUUGGGCGUAAAGCGCGCGCAGGUGGUUCUUUAAGUCUGAUGUGAAAGCCCCCGGGCCCAACCGGGGGAGGGUCAUUGGAAACUGGGGAACUUGAGUGCAGGAGAGGAAAGUGGAAUUCCACGUGUAGCGGUGAAAUGCGUAGAUAUGUGGAGGAACACCAGUGGCGAAGGCGACUUUCUGGCCUGUAACUGACACUGAGGCGCGAAAGCGUGGGGAGCAAACAGGAUUAGAUACCCUGGUAGUCCACGCCGUAAACGAUGAGUGCUAAGUGUUGGGGGGUUUCCGCCCCUCAGUGCUGCAGCUAACGCAUUAAGCACUCCGCCUGGGGAGUACGGUCGCAAAGACUGA